rnacentral:lncRNA from 1 species
GGCAGCUAUUAUGAAGACAAACAACAUUGUGUUGGUGAGGAUGUGGGGAAAAAGGUACACUCAUACACUGCUGUUGGGACUGCAAAUUGGUGCAGCCAGUAUGGAAAGCAGUAUGGAGAUUUCUUGGAAAAUUGGGAAUGGAACCAUUUGACCCAGCUAUCCCUCUCCUUGGUCUGUACCCAGAGGACUUAAAAACAGCAUACUGCAGGGACACAGCCACAUCAAUAUUUAUGGCAGCACAAUUCACAAUAGCUAAACUGUGGAACCAAUCUAGAUGCCCUUCAGUAGAUGAAUGGAUAAAAAUGUGGCAUAUAUACACAGUGGAAUAUUACUCAGCAAUAAAAGAGAAUAAAAUCAUGUCAUCUGCAGAUAAAUGGAUGGAGUUAGAGAAGAUAAUACUAAGUGAAGUUAACCAAUCCCAAAAAACCAAAUGCUGUAUGUUUUCUUUGAUAUAAGGAGGCUGAUUCAUAGUGGGAUAGGGAGCAGGAACAUGGGAGGAUUAGACAAACUCUAGAUAGGGCAGAGGGGUGGGAGGGGAAGAGAGGGAGCAUGGCGUUAUAAAUGAUGGUGGAAUGUGAUGAUCAUUAUUAUCUAAAGUACAUGUAUGAAGACACCAAUUGGUGUUAAUAUACUAUGUAUGCAACCAGAGAUGAAAAAUUGUGCUCUAUAUGUGUAAUAAGAAUUGUAAUGCAUUCUGCUGUCAUAUAUAAAUAAAUAAAAAGGACUGGGGAUAUAGCUCUGUAGUAAAACACCCUUUGAUUUAAUCUCAGUACUGCAAAGAAACAAAAAAAGAAAGAAAGAAAGAAAAAACAAUACACUCAAGCUUAAGUUGAAAUUUUUUAAGUGUAUGUCAGAGACUUAAUAUCUAUCAGGGUGAUGAGACUGGAGCACCUCCAGUUUUCAGUAUAUGUUAGUCUCUUGUGCUAUUUUAUUUCGUUUUUUU